UGUGCUUGCUUGGUGCCACAGAUGUUGCUGCAAGAACUCAUCCUUCCCAGCUGGAAUGACAACAUCCACAGCCGUCAGCCCUAUGAGCUCUGGCUUCAGGAUUAAAAGGCAUAUUAAAGGGAGCCUGUUGUGUCCUGGAUGCCAGCAUGGCCAUCAUGAUGGAGAACAGGCAGCCUUAGCAUCUGGCUGUUUGGUCAUCUAUGAAGACAGAGUUAUUUUCAUUCUCCGGGAAGGACGUUCUAGGUGUUAAUAGCACUAAUUAUGUGCCAGAUCAUGAGAGGAUAAUAAGAUGAGUGGGGCAGUCUGCUCUCAGUGGACACUUAGAUUAGAUGGAGAAACGCUUCUGAAGCAAGAAAUGCAACAAAAGGGGGCACCCAAACCAGGUAUUUGCAGUGAUUGGUGAUUUCUCUGUGCAAAUGCUAAGAAUGCCUUGAACAAUUCCUCUGUCAGCAAGUAAACCCAUAUUUGUAUUAUUAUGAUCUCUAUGUCUACCAAUACAUUACAGUACCAAUUUGCUGGAAAUUUGAAUUUCAGUCAAGUAAAUGCAAUUACUUUUUAUUUUAUUUGGAAAAGGUUCAUAACCAUGGAAAUAGAAAUAAGUCUUUAUGUCUCAUGAAACUCCAAGAACACCACAGACUUUAUCUUAUUUGUCUUCAUGGUCUCCUUGAGACAAGAGAGGCAGAAAAUUGAGGCGCCAAAGAGAUUAGUGUUUUCCAUGGCUCCAUGUGUGAGUCAGUGGUGAGGCCAGGCACGGGCCCUGUUCUAUUUAUUCUCUUUGAAAUAUCAUUCAAUUUUUCAUACUGCUUUUCUCUCCCAUAAAAUCAUUCUGAGAUAAUGAGAGUGAAGUUGCCAUUAGAGCCACUUUUCCACAGAGCCAGUGCUGCAAAGUAUAGGCACAGACCUGAUUUAGAUCAUCGAUCCAACACCAAACCAAAAAGCCAAUUUGCUUAAAGGACUCAGUUAGCCUCAGUGUGGACGCAGGAAGGCAUGAGAGCCUGCUAACAGGUUUUUCAUUUUUAAAUCAGGCAUUCUGGAAUUGCAUAGGCAUGACCUUAAAACUUGAAAAUGUGUUUCUACCAACAGAUAAUUUCAGAGGUAUUUUACUGUCUUGGAACAGUACCGGUAGGGAUUGUGGCUCCUUAUGAUGAACUUUUUAAUACCUUCUAAGUCAGGGGAUAUGUAGCACUUUGACAAUUUUUUAAAAAGGGAUAAUGAUAUGCAAUAAUCUUAUUACUUUACUUCUUCAAGAUGUGUUUUUAAGUAAGGCAUACAACGUCAAAAACCAAAUGGAGAAGAGCAAACCUAUAAUCUCCUUAAACCUCUUAUCUACAUGCAAACCAGAAGGUGCUUAUGAAUUUACAUGUGACAAGGUUUGAGUCUCACCUUUGAAGUUUUCCUCUUCCUCUUCUCCUUCUCCUUGUUAGUCUCUGACCUUUCUUUCUUAACGGCACAUCCUUCAAACCUAUUUAAGGAAAAAAAUCUCUGCAGAGUGCGAUACAGAUAAAAAUCUAAAUUUCAUAAGCCAUUCUUAUGACCUGUAGAGAGUCAUUUUAAUGUUGACAAACAUAUUGAUAAAGGACUUCUUGUUGAAGAGUGGGGAGAUACUUGUUUUCACAAAAGUAUUCAUAUUUUAUAACUUUUCAGGGGGUUCUCAUGAGACUUUUACAGGGCAGAUGAGACAACAUAAAUGAAAGGGCUUUGUAAACUAUAACACACUAUACACAUGCUAUUCUUAUUUUGGUACAAUUCUAUUCCACUACUCAAUAAUACCAACUAGACUAAUUCAUGUGUAUUUUAAAAAUUCUAAAUACAAAGUUUGUUUGCUCCCUGGGUACUCUAGAACUGAUUCAUUGCCUGUUCCAUUAUAUUAUAAAAUACAUUAACCUUAUAGCCAUUGUAUUUUCUGAUCUGUUUACAUGCAUUUUAGACUUCUUAAGGUUCUUUAGAUGAUUUACUCAUUGGGUUGAUUUUUACUCCUAUAUCCAUUUCUUCCUAUCAGGAUCAUUUUACUUUCCAUCUGCCUAAGAAAAGCAGGUGCCCACGCAAGAUUUAAUUAAAAAGCCAUUGCCAGCUAUAGAACUAUUGGCUUCCUACAUUACUCUAAUCAUGAAAUAAAAUAAUAGCUGGGUGAUGUUUUUCAAGAGGUCAUUAAAAAUUCUUUCUGAAGAAUACUUCUCCAUCCAUUUGCAAGAGAACCUCAAAGACUUGAGGUGAGCAAACCUAGGUGAGGCCUGACAAACUGUGUUUAGUAUUUCCCAGUUUGAGUUGAUACGAACCACAGUCAAACCUUCUUCAAGACUCAUUUCUUUGCUCUAAAAUUUUGUUUUGCAGGUGGUAUGUGAGCAGAUUUUGGUGAGAAAAAGGCAAAUUUUAUUAGAAUCCUGGAUCUGGAUAAGUAAAAGAAAACAAGUCCUCCCCCCCCU